UAGUCCACGCCCUAAACGAUGAUCACUCGACAUAUGCGAUAUACUGUAUGUGUCCAAGCGAAAGCGUUAAGUGAUCCACCUGGGGAGUACAUUCGCAAGAAUGAAACUCAAAGGAAUUGACGGGGGUCCGCACAAGCGGAGGAGCAUGUGGUUUAAUUCGAUGAUACGCGAGGAACCUUACCUGGACUAGAAUGCUUUUGGACCGUCCCCGAAAAGGGACUUUCUCUUCGGAGACCGAUUGCAAGGUGCUGCAUGGUUGUCGUCAGCUCGUGCCGUGAGGUGUUGGGUUAAGUCCCGCAACGAGCGCAACCCUUAUCCUUAGUUGUCAUCAGAUAAUGCUGGGGACUCUAAGGAAACUGCCCGCGUAAGCGGUGAGGAAGGAGGGGAUGACGUCAAAUCAUCAUGGCCUUUAUGUCCAGGGCUACACACGUGCUACAAUGGCCAGUACAAAGGGUUGCUACCUGGUGACAGGAUGCCAAUCUCAAAAAGCUAGGUCUCAGUUC
rnacentral:rRNA from 1 species